rnacentral:rRNA from 1 species
CGGGGCUUAAAGUCUUGUAAUUGGAAUGAUGGGAAUUUAAACCUCUUCCAGAGUAUCAAUUGGAGGGCAAGUCUGGUGCCAGCAGCCGCGGUAAUUCCAGCUCCAAUAGCGUAUAUUAAAAUUGUUGCAGUUAAAAAGCUCGUAGUUGAAUUUCUGCUGCAUUGCUUGUGUCCCUCUGUGGUCUGUGCAUGUGGCUUUUUUCGGACGGAGUUUCUUUGUCUGAAUGUUUACUUUGAGAAAAUUAGAGUGCUCAAAGCAGGCUUUCGCCUUGAAUAGUUUAGCAUGGAAUAAUAAAGUAGGACUUUGGUUCUAUUUUGUUGGUUUUAGGUACCAAAGUAAUGGUUAAUAGGAACAGUUGGGGGCAUUCGUAUUUAACUGUCAGAGGUGAAAUUCUUAGAUUUGUUAAAGACGAACUACUGCGAAAGCAUUUGCCAAGGAUGUUUUCAUUAAUCAAGAAC